rnacentral:lncRNA from 1 species
UCAUCAUAAUAACUUUAAAUAAUUAUUAGCGAUGAUGAUUUUGUUAUUAGAGACAGCAAGGUCGUUGCUAAUUAAAUUAUUAUUAGUGACGUCAUUAGCGAUAAAAUAUUACUAUUGCUAAUAAUUAAGCCCUAAUAACCCUCUCAGAUCACCGACGGGCUUACAGAAACCCUCCCCUUGAUCCCCCACCGGUUCCCUUUCUCUAGUCACCUCUCUCUCUCUCCACACCAUCGGAGUCCCUGGCCUCCUUCCCCCA